AGAAUCAACGCUGGCGGCGUGCCUAACACAUGCAAGUCGCACGAGAAAGGGACUUCGGUCCUGAGUACAGUGGCGCACGGGUGAGUAACACGUGAAUCAUCUACCUUCGAGUGGGGAAUAACUGAGAGAAAUCUUAGCUAAUACCGCAUAAUACCUACGGGUCAAAGCAGCAAUGCGCUUGAAGAGGAGUUCGCGGCAGAUUAGUUAGUUGGCGGGGUAAUGGCCCACCAAGACGAUGAUCUGUAUCCGGCCUGAGAGGGCGCACGGACACACUGGAACUGAAACACGGUCCAGACUCCUACGGGAGGCAGCAGUGGGGAAUUUUGCGCAAUGGGGGAAACCCUGACGCAGCAACGCCGCGUGGAGGAUGAAAUCCCUUGGGAUGUAAACUCCUUUCGAUCGGGAAGAUAAUGACGGUACCGAGAGAAGAAGCCCCGGCUAACUUCGUGCCAGCAGCCGC
rnacentral:rRNA from 1 species